GACGAACGCUGGCGGCGUGCUUAACACAUGCAAGUCGAACGGUGAAGCUCCAGCUUGCUGGAGUGGAUCAGUGGCGAACGGGUGAGUAACACGUGAGCAACCUGCUCCUGACUCUGGAAUAAGCGCUGGAAACGGCGUCUAAUACUGGAUACGAGAAGGGUCCGCAUGGGCACUUUCUGGAAAGUUUUUCGGUUGGGGAUGGGCUCGCGGCCUAUCAGCUUGUUGGUGAGGUAAUGGCUCACCAAGGCGACGACGGGUAGCCGGCCUGAGAGGGCGACCGGCCACACUGGGACUGAGACACGGCCCAGACUCCUACGGGAGGCAGCAGUGGGGAAUAUUGCACAAUGGGCGAAAGCCUGAUGCAGCGACGCCGCGUGAGGGAUGACGGCCUUCGGGUUGUAAACCUCUUUCAGCAGGGAAGAAGCGAAAGUGACGGUACCUGCAGAAGAAGCACCGGCUAACUACGUG
rnacentral:rRNA from 1 species